rnacentral:pre_miRNA from 1 species
GAGACACCUUUAUGGGGCAGGACUUGCUUCACUGGAACUUUGGCGCUCACUGAGUCUGACCCCUGAGUGUGUCUCU